rnacentral:rRNA from 1 species
CCAGCACCCGCGGUAAUUCCAGCUCCAAUAGCGUAUAUUAAAGUUGUUGCAGUUAAAAAGCUCGUAGUUGGAUUUGUGGCGUGUGGUGAGCCCCGGGCACUUGUUGUCUGAGUGGCCUGCCGCUGCCAUCCUUGGGGGGAACCUGUGUGGCAUUAGGUUGUCGUGCAGGGGAUGCCCAUCGUUUACUGUGAAAAAAUUAGAGUGUUCAAAGCAGGCUUAUGCCGUUGAAUAUAUUAGCAUGGAAUAAUAAGAUAGGACUUUUUCGCUAUUUUGUUGGUUUGCGCGAAGAGGUAAUGAUUAAUAGGGACAGUUGGGGCUAUUCGUAUUCCAUUGUCAGAGGUGAAAUUCUUGGAUUUCUGGAAGACGAACUACUGCGAAAGCAUUUAGCAAGGAUGUUUUCAUUAAUCAAGAACGAAAGU